UGCCAGCUGCUCUUCAACAUCUGACCUAUUGCAGCUGCUACAGAGGUUUCUACUGUUCAUGCAGAGGACAGAAAUCCUCCUCAAAGAUAUCUGAGACCUCACCUGUGCGAUUCUUGCCAUGUUAUUUCUUCAUGCCUCACUGUGCCUCUUCCUCUAUCACCUGAUCUUUGACCUGAGUAAAUGUGUUUUCAACCAGAUGUUACAAAAGUACUUCAGUUCUUUCAAUGGGGUUAGCCAAGACGUCACUGGGACUGUCUUUAAGUCAAACCAAGCUAACAAGAAGAGAGGAAACCUAGAAAACUGAGGUUCUUGUGCAAUUACAGUUUCAGGAGGUGAGGCUUUUGAGAAAACUCAAAAUUUUGCAACACUAGUCAUGCUGAGGUAAAGACCUACUUGAUUCCAGUUAAGUAUCAUUGCUCCAGAGUACAAAGUAGAAUAUGAAACAGCAACUUUUCCAACCAAACUCUUAGCUUUCAUUAUUU